UUCGCAAUGCCCGAAAGGGUGACGAAGCGACGCCGCGUGCGGGAAGAAGGCCUUCGGGUUGUAAACCGCUGUCGGGAGUUAGGAAGUGCAAGGAUGUUAAUAGCGUUCUUGCUUGACUAAGGCUCCGGAGGAAGCCACGGCUAACUCUGUGCCAGCAGCCGCGGUAAUACAGAGGCGGCAAGCGUUGUUCGGAAUUAUUGGGCGUAAAGAGCACGUAGGCGGCUGUGUAAGUCGGUUGUGAAAGCCUUCCGCUUAACGGAAGAACGGCAUCCGAUACUGCAUAGCUUGAGUGCGGGAGGGGAGAGUGGAACUUCUGGUGGAGCGGUGAAAUGCGUAGAUAUCAGAAGGAACACCGGCGGCGAAGGCAACUCUCUGGUCCGUAACUGACGCUGAGUGUGCGAAAGCUAGGGGAGCAAACGGGAUUAGAUACCCCGGUAGUCCUAGCCGUAAACGAUGGGCACUAAGUAGAGGGGUUUUA
rnacentral:rRNA from 1 species